CCCCAGAAGUUGCUGAACUACAACUCCCAUGAUUCUUUCAAUUAAAAAGAUAGCCAGGGAAUCAUGGGAAUUGUAGUUCAGCAACAUCUGGGG
rnacentral:miRNA from 1 species